GACGAACGCUGGCGGCGUGCUUAACACAUGCAAGUCGAACGCUGAAGCUUGGUGCUUGCACUGGGUGGAUGAGUGGCGAACGGGUGAGUAAUAAGUGAGUAACCUGCCCUUGACUCUGGGAUAAGCCUGGGAAACUGGGUCUAAUACUGGAUACGACAUGUCACCGCAUGGUGGUGUGUGGAAAGGGUUUUACUGGUUUUGGAUGGGCUCACGGCCUAUCAGCUUGUUGGUGGGGUAAUGGCUCACCAAGGCGACGACGGGUAGCCGGCCUGAGAGGGUGACCGCCAACAGGAGGCGGGCGACGCGCCGAAGAGGGCGACGGAGCGGAGGAGAGGGGAAAGUGGGACACGGGGGGGCGCCCUUGUGCAGCGGAGGCGAAGGGGGGAGGACGGGCUGAGGGUUGAAAACGCCUCGCAGCAAGGAAGAAGAGAAGGGGACGGGAGGGGAAGAGGAAGCGCCGGCAAAUUCAGCUACAGCCGCGCCGGUAAUAAGCGAAGAGCCCACGUAAAACC
rnacentral:rRNA from 1 species